GGUUCUUGCGCACAGUGGUUAAGCACUCAGCUGCUAACUGAAAGGUUGGUGGUUCAAACCCACCAAGGACAA
rnacentral:tRNA from 1 species